ACUCCUACGGGAGGCAGCAGUAGGGAAUCUUCGGCAAUGGGGGCAACCCUGACCGAGCAACGCCGCGUGAGUGAAGAAGGUUUUCGGAUCGUAAAACUCUGUUGUUGAAGAAGAACAUGCGUGAGAGUAACUGUUCACGUACUGACGGUAUUCAACCAGAAAGCCACGGCUAACUACGUGCCAGCAGCCGCGGUAAUACGUAGGUGGCAAGCGUUGUCCGGAUUUAUUGGGCGUAAAGAGAAUGUAGGCGGUUUAUUAAGUUUGAAGUGAAAGCCCUCGGCUCAACCGAGGAAGUGCUUCGAAAACUGGUAAACUUGAGUGCAGAAGAGGAAAGUGGAACUCCAUGUGUAGCGGUGGAAUGCGUAGAUAUAUGGAAGAACACCAGUGGCGAAGGCGGCUUUCUGGUCUGUAACUGACGCUGAGAUUCGAAAGCAUGGGUAGCAAACAGGAUUAGAUACCCUGGUAGGAUAGCG
rnacentral:rRNA from 1 species